rnacentral:rRNA from 1 species
GGGGGGGGGGGGGGGGGGGCGGGGGGGGGGGGGGGGGGGGGGGGGGGGGGGGGGGGGGGGGCGGGGGUGGGGGGCGGGGGGGUGGCACGGGGGUGACCUGCGCGUGGCGUCGGGAUAACGUCGUGAUCCUGGGGCUGAUACCGGAUAGGGAUCCUGGCUGCAUGGUGUGGGGUGGGGAGCAGCGGCCGGUGUGGGUGGACUCGGGCCUUCUUCUGUUGUUGUGGGGGUCGUGGCGUACCAAGGCCUUGACGGGUAGCCGGCCGGAGAGGGCGACCGGCCACAUUGGGACUGAGAUACGGCCCAGACUCCCACGGGAGGCAGCAGUGGGGAAUAUUGCAAAAUGGGCGGAAGCCUGAUGCAGCAACGCCGCGGGCGGGAUGACGGCCUUCGGGUUGUAAACCGCUUUCAGCAGGGGCGAAGCUUGUGGUGACGGUACCUGCAGAAGAAGCACCGGCUAACUACGUG